GCCUGGCUGGCUCAGUCGGUAGAGCAUGCGACUCCAGAUCUCAGGGUCAUGAGUUCAAGCCCCAUGUUGGGAG
rfam:Mustela putorius furo unplaced genomic scaffold scaffold00025, whole genome shotgun sequence.